AUGGCUGUCGUCAGCUCGUGUCGUGAGAUGUUGGGUUAAGUCCCGCAACGAGCGCAACCCACGUCUUUAGUUGCCAGCAUUGAGUUGGGCACUCUAGAGAGACCGCCGGUGAUAAACCGGAGGAAGGUGUGGAUGACGUCAAGUCAUCAUGCCCCUUACAUCCUGGGCUACACACGUACUACAAUGCUACGGACAAAGGGCAGCAAACUCGCGAGAGCUAGCAAAUCCCAUAAACCGUGGCUCAGUUCAGAUCGUAGGCUGCAACUCGCCUACGUGAAGGAGGAAUCGCUAGUAAUCGCAGGUCAGCAUACUGCGGUGAAUACGUUCCCGGGCCUUGUACACACCGCCCGUCACACCAUGGAAGUUGGCCACGCCCGAAGUCGUUACUCCAACCCGCAAGGGAGGAGGAUGCCGAAGGUGGGGCUGAUGACUGGGGUGAAGUCGUAACAAGGUAGCCGUACCGGAAGGUGCGGCUGGAUCACCUCCUAAC
rnacentral:rRNA from 1 species